rnacentral:rRNA from 1 species
CGUGUAGGCGGCUUGGCAAGUCGGAUGUGAAAUCCCAGGGCCCAACCCUGGAACUGCAUUCGAAACUGCCUCGCUAGAGUCCCGGAGAGGGUGGCGGAAUUCCCGGUGUAGGGGUGAAAUCCGUAGAUAUCGGGAGGAACACCAGUGGCGAAGGCGGCCACCUGGACGGUGACUGACGCUCAGACCCGAAAGCGUGGGGAGCAAACAGGAUUAGAUACCCUGGUAGUCC